rnacentral:rRNA from 1 species
AUGUGUAAGUAUAAAUAGUUAACUUUGAAACUGCGAAUGGCUCAUUAUAUCAGUUAUAGUUUAUUUGAUGAAGAAUACUAAUUGGAUAACCGUAGUAAUUCUAGAGCUAAUACAUGUAUAAAGUCUUGUAGACUGCAUUUAUUAGAAUGAAAACCAUAGGUUUCGGCCUAUUCGUGAGUAAUAAUAACUAAUCAUAUCGUAUGCUUAUGUAACGAUGUGUCUUUCAAGUUUCUGCCCUAUCAGCUUUCCAUGGUAGUGUAUUGGACUACCAUGGCAGUAACGGGUAACGAAGAAUUUGGGUUCGAUUUCGGAAAGGGAGCCUGAGAGAUGGCUACCACAUCCCAGGAAGGCAGCAGGCGCGUAAAUUACCCAAUCCUGACACAGGGAGGUAGUGACAAUAAAUCACAAUGCGGAACAAUGUUUUGCAAUUGGAUUGAAAACAACGUACAAACCUUAUCGAUAAACAAUUGGAGGGCAAGUCUGGUGCCAGCAGCCGCGGUAAUUCCAGCUCCCA